rnacentral:lncRNA from 1 species
AUCCCCUCCUCUGAAACCAAAUAAUCUCCAUAAAAGAAAAAAAAAACAAGAAUAAGAAACAGGAUUCACAAUGGCCAAGUACACCAUCAUCGCUGCCUCUGCCCUCUGCUUCUUGACCUUGGUCGGUUCUGCUUACUCCCAGGACCGCUUCUUCAUUGAGGGCACAGUUUACUGUGACACUUGCCGCACCCAGUUCCUCACCAGGGUUAGCGAGUUCAUGUCAGGUAAACACAUGAUUGAUUUUAGAUUAUAAUAUUAAUCGUAACAUGAAACGAUAAUGUAUUCUAACUUUCAAUAUAAGUUCGAACUUCAUUUGAAAACAAAUAGAUCCUUAAUCAAUUAUUCAUGAAUAAUUUUAUAUUAUAUUUUUAACAUAUGUAUUAACGCAAGGAGCUGUUUAGGCGUGAAACGUGAACAAUGUAGAGACUCGCCUCGAACUAUAUACUAUUUGGUCAUUGAGUUUUUUGUGACACAUAUCAUGAACCAAUUAUCUUGUGGUUUGAAUCCUCUCGUACAAGAUCCUCUUCAGCAUCCAUCCUGCAAGUUUUUAACCAUUGAUUUUUAAAUCAAUUUCUAAUUAGGUUAAUCAAACAACUUAUUUAUUAAAAUAUGUAAAAGUAAUUUCAGUAACGUCAAAAAAAAAAAAAAUCAGUGCUAGACUGAAGGAGAGGCUGAACAGGAUACAAAUUCACUAUCUUGAUAAAAAAAAACAUAACUCAACUGUCUUAAAAGUUUGCUAAUACUUUGUAAGCGACAUGUGGUCUUAGAAAUAUGCCUUAGCCCGAGGAUAAUCAGAACCGAACAAUUUUCGUUCAUCUCAAAAGUCAUAACCUGCAUUUUGUAAUAUCUAUACUUACUAUAAGAAACUAUUAAUGUGGCUAUUACCAUGGUGAAGGUGCAACCGUGGGUGUGGUGUGCAGAGAACGUGAUGCUGGUGCCAAGGUGACAUUCAGCAAAGAGGCAGUGACCGACGCUAACGGAAUGUACAGCGUUGCGGUGGACGGAGACCACGAAGAUGAGGUUUGCGAGGUGAAGCUUCUCAAGAGCAGCAGGGCUGACUGUUCAGAGGUUGACACUGAGUCACACCUUGAACAGGCUUCCAGGAUCAGCAUCACCAACAACAAUGGCAUCGUUUCCCCUGUCCGCACUGCCAACCCACUUGGUUUCUUGAAGACAGAGCGUCUUCCUGAGUGCGGUCACAUCCUCCUUCAGCUUGGUCUUCAUGAGGAUGGCUCACUCAAACAUUAAAUUAUUAAUUGAUGAAUAUAAAAGGGGAGGGGGAUCUAACCUCUUUGUAUGAUCAUGAUAUGAUGUAAUAUUGUGAGAAUUAUAUAUAUAUAAGCUUGGCCUUGAAUUCUCUGAAAAAAAAUGGGAUCUUUAUCUAUAACUCACUUGAUAGAUCAUAUAUUGAUCUCUAGGCACUUUUCUUUUUUACAGUUAAAAUAUGCUUCAUUUAAAUUAAAAGAGGAUACAUCCAAUCUCAUAAGAGAAUGCAAAUCAUGAGGAAAAUCCUCUACCAAAACAUGAGACCGAGAAACAAACACAUUUUUAACUAGGAAAGCAGCGCCACCAUUGCAAUGCCUCAUGAACAAGCUCACACAGGAGAUGAAAGAGUAAGGGAUCGAUUCUAAUUUUUGAAUACGGUUUUAAUUUCUCUCGCAUAUAUGAAAGGAAAGUGAAAAGAGAAUAGAAAAUAAGAUGAUAUUAAGAUUAUUUUGUUGCAGAGAAAUUAAAAAAUAAAAAUAAAAUAAACGAAAAGUAUAUAUUUAUCAAAUGACAUAAACAUUCUUAAGUACAAAUAAAAUAUUAAUUUUUUUAUAAAAGUAUAAUUAAAGACAUCAAUAUAUUAAUAAUAUUAUAUAUAUUUUUAUUAUUUUUUUAAAUAUUUUUAUUACUAUUAUAAAAUAUAAAUAGGGAGGCCAUUUUUGUUAUUUUUGUUCUUGUUGAUAAGCACCAUUUUUGUUAAAUAACCUAAAACACAGUCCUCUCACUCUUGUUUUCUCAUGACCAAGACAAUAGAGAAAAUACUUUUAUGGGCCCCAACUUAAUUUUUCUAUUAUUCUCUUCUAACUUUUUUCCUAGCCAAAGGGAAGAAAAUAUCUUAUGUGUUUUAUUUGCUCCCUUUUCUUUUCUCCUUAUUUUAUUAUGUUACGAUUUUUUUGUUUGUUUGAUAAAGUUGAAAAGCAUACCAAAGAGAACUUGUUUAAUUUUUCAAUUAAUUAGUUGAUCUGGUGCAAAAAAUGUUCAACUUUCCAUAUCCAAAUCUGAUGAUUAAGAGAUAAAGUGAGCUAAUUACACCGUUAUAUCUUAUAGUUAAGAAUUCAUUUACGAAGAAUAGAACUCAUCUAAUUGCAUUAUUACUAUAAUAAAGUAAUAAAUUUGACCACAAUUAUUGUUAGAAAACAUAUGAUACAGGAAGCUUUAAUUUGUCUUAUUUUAUUACUAAUUUUUCCAUUUUUUUUGUAUUAAUUUCGUAGUGCAACAAACUGAUCGGCCGGCCUAUAGUAUAAAGUAUAAACUAUAAAGGCAAGUUGUGAAUAAGAAAAGACUGAGUGAGAUUCCCUAAUUAAAGAGAUAAGAAUAGUUAAACUACAAUUUGCUCUCAAAUUAUGAUCAUGUAUAGGAUUAAUUAACUAUUUAAAUUUUGUCUCUUAGUGUUUCUCACUUGACCAUUUCAUCAAUUCACGUUUACAUUAAUCGCUUUUAGCGGAUCGCAAGUCAAAGCAAAUGAAUUAAUGCACUUGAAUUAAUUCUAAUAAUAAUCAUUCAUGUAUGAACUAAGCAUGUAGGUGAGAAACAAUCUGAACCGUUCAAGUACUUAAUUCACAGCGUAGCGUGGUUGAUUUAUUUGCUUCGCCAUUUUUGGUCGCGGUUCACAUCACAUAUAUCUUCAUAUAUAUACUCUAGAUAAGCUUUAAUUAAAUUAAAUUAGGCCGUCACUAUCCAGUUUCAAGAGCCUCCUUUAAUUUGUUUGUAUCUGAUUUCUGAUGUUAAUGUAACUUCCUGGAUGAUCUUGAUAUGACAACCUUUUAUCGUUUAUUGGCCUUCAUGCCGAGCUAUGGUAACGAAAACAAAUCUCUUAAGAUAUCUUUUGACUUAUAAUGAACAGAGGUAGUAUGUCAUUUUGUUAACACUUUUUUCACACAUCAUUCAUCUUAUAAUAGAAAUAAAGAAAAUAGAAAAUAAAAGAUACAAUAACUCAUGUGAUAGAAAAGAAACGGAUCAGACACAUAGAUAAAGAAGAUAAGGAUAAAUUGUGAUUGAUUGUUGAAUUUAAGAAUUAAUUAUUAAGAUUAAAAUAUAAAAUCAUGUUACAUAACAUUUUUAAGUUGUCACACUGUUAAAUUAGCCUUAUUUUUAUCUUAAUCAUUUAUAAUUGCAUCUAAUAAUCACAAUUUACCAUAAAAACAACAUUCUCACAUAUUUGUUUUCCUAUCUUUAUCUUCUAAUAUGGAGUGUGUAUUGUAUACACAUUCCCAUGAAUAUCCAAUCAUCUUAAUUAUUUAUCCUGCUUACAUAGACUUUCUAUACUCAUUCAAUUUUUUUAAGGCAAGAAAAUCAAACUAAAAAAUCUCAAACUAAGGGAGACGACUUAUGCCCACCAAAUAAGGAAAAAAGAAGUAAAAUAAACAUUCCAUAUUUUUCAAUAUAACACUAAACAAAAGAAAGAAAAAGAGUAUGGCUGUUAAUUAACAAGGUUGACCACCUGAGCCCGCGGUGGUUCUCGGCCUUUUAGAUGGAAAAAGUUGUCGGAAAUCACCAUGAAACAUGGCGGCAGCCUCGUGCCAUUCACGAUGAGUCCCCAAACCUAGCUGCUCGACGGUGGCAGAUGCAUCACAUAUGCUACCACCACCGUCCAGCAACUCGUCGCACGACGGCCUCAUCUUUCUCCGGCCGGCCCCUACGGGCACGUUGCGGAGGGCCCCGCCGGCCGUCCAGUACCUCUGGCAGCCCUUGCAGAAAUGCCUUGGCUGAUUAACGUUGUAGUUGUUGAAGUAGCAAAACUUGGUCUCCAUGCUCUUGCAUCUAGGGCAUGGUAUGAUUUUAUCAGGCUUUUUCUCCUGAUCUCUCUCUUCUCCACUUCCCUUUUUGUCUUCACUUCUUUCUCUAGUUUCUCUACCUCCAUGCAACGUGAUUGUUGUGCCAAACAGCUUAAUCCCUUCACUGUCUUGGCCACUUUGUACCUGAGCCAUUUUAAAGAGAGAUAGAGAGGGAGAGAGGUUUGAGAAGGAAAUAUAAAUGGUGGAACCGUGGAAGUGCUUUUCUAUAUAUCAUGUGGAUGAUAAACGCCAAAAACGUAGGUGGAAUAUAAAGUGCGUUGCCAAAUUAAAGUAAAGAAAAAGAGAAAAAAGAAGAAAAGUGGGAAAAAGGCUUUGAAAAGCUACGGAUGAGCUUUUUGUACACAUCAUUUGUCUAUAAAGCUGGCCCAAUCCAGGUAGAUCGCUUGUAAAUUGUAAAAGGUGGCGAUAGUUUGACCCAAAAAAAAAUUGGGAUAGUUAUAUAUGUUAAAAGGGGUUGUCUAAAUGACUCAUGAUCAAGUUUGGGUUAAAUAACUCAUCAUCCAAUCACAUUGGAGAUAAGUGAGUUGGAAUUUUUAUAUUUUAUUUAUUAAUUUAUUUCCAACUCAUUUAUCUCAAAUGUGAUUGGAUGAUGAGUUAUUUAACUCAAACUUUAUUAUGGGUCAUUUAGACAACCCCUAAUUAAGAUUAGGCUAAAAAGCAUUUUUGGCCCCUGAUGUUUCAAGUUUGUGCAAAUUCUGCCCCUAUCUAUUUUUGUCGAUGUUUCUACCCAUCAUGUUUUCAAACAGUGCACCGUCUACCCCUGACGGAGGGGUAGACGAUGCACUGUUUGAAAACAUGAGGGGUAGACGAUCCACUGUUUGAAAACAUGAGGGGUAGAAACAUCGACAAAAAUAGAGUAGGGGCAGAAUUUGCACAAACUUGAAACAUCAGGGGCCAAAAGUGCAUUUUAGCCUUAAGAUUAUGGUGCCAUAAAAUGAAGGUGGUUUCUUUUUCGUCUCUUAUCCGAGAAAAGUUUGGUUCUUAUUAAUACGACUUAAGAAAAAUUGACUUUAUUCUUCACAUGAGCCAAGAGCUUAAGGUGAUUCUACGAAGUGUCUGGCGACUGGCAAAGCACACUACAUAUAAUAUUUAUUCAAAAUUUAUGUUAUACAUAUAUACUUAAAAGUUAAAUAAAAAUUAUUAAUUAAAAACAAAAUUACAAAAAAAACACUUGACUCUUAAAUAUUACGUUUAUCAAUGUUCUUGAGUUCUUCAUCAAGGUAUCUCACAUCAUCCACCUCAUCCCCACUUCAUCACCAUCUUAUUCUUCAACAACAUUUCUCUAGUAAACAUAGCUCACUUCACCUUCUUCUUCCCAUCAUGAACCUCAAAAAGGGAAACCUCCAAAUCUAGAAACCUAGCAAACCCCAACUUAAUCUCACUUGGCGAGUGGGUUUGAGUUGGGGAAAGGGGAUGGGUUUCAAAUUAUUUUCAUACCAUAUACUAUUCUACUCAUGAGUAAUUGGGAUGUGCCUCCAAAUAAGUGUUCCUAGCUAGCUUGACUUUUUGUGCCUUUUUAGAAAGGGCAGUGGAACUAUAUAAGUUGGUCACGAUUCACAUUUUAAUAUUAGUUUGUUUAAUAAAUUAUUAUGCACUUGUAAAAAAAGUUUUACAUUAAUAUUUUUUAAAGAGUUACAUUAAUGUUACCUCAUCAGAAUCUAUUAAUUUGUCAUAUUAUAAUUAAAUUUGAAUUUAAAUCAUUUUAAAUGAAAAAUAAAGAGAUGUGAGGAUGCAUGCGCAAAACUCUUUACACAAUAAGUGCAUACCAAUUAAAUCUUUUUAAUAUUGUGCAAUUUCCAUUGGCUUUAUUGAUUGUUAUAGUUGCAUGCUCCUAAUGGCAUUUGGUAGCACUUUUGACAAGAGUACAGGUAGAUUUUCAGUAAACUUUUUGACGAGUUUGUUAAACUUUUUUUUUCUUUUUCAAAAAACUUUAUAAAUUAAAAAGUAUUUUAAAAAAUAUGUGAUGUUUGAUUAAUUCUCAAAAAGGAAAUAUCUAAAAAGUGGCUUUAAUAAUUCUACAAAAAAAAAGUUUUAGAAUGUAAAUAUAACUUAACAUUUUGAAACAAUUCUUAUGAAAAGGAGGUUCUUUUAUAAAAAAAAAAUGUUUACACGCCCACCUUGCAUCUUUUCCAUGAAUUGUUUUUUGAGUCGUGGGUCAGGUUCCGGCUUUUUAUAUAAUAUUUCAUAUGCCCUUUCUUUACUAAAGGAGUUUUAAUAUACUUAAUUUGGAAAGUAAUCACAUUUCCAACUCAUUACCGUGUUCUAUAAUGAAGACAAGGAAGCAUCAUUUGCUUUCUUUUAUCGAUAAAUGAUACACUUUUUCAUGAGAUUCAUCAAAGUGAAUCUUAUGAGAACCCCUCAAGCACUAUUGGACAGUAAAAGAGUAAAAGAUUGAAUUUAAAAGACUUAACUCAACUAGUUUAUAUAAAUGGUGAGGAUUUUACAUUCCAUAUAUUUAGCCUCCAGCUAUCCAAAUAGGGCCAAUUUGAACCGGACUUGAGCAAACUGAUGAUUUUUUAAUGAAUGGGCCAAUUUGGUUCGGCCGCGGGUUUGUCCGAUCCCAUUUUAUGGAUUCAUGAGGAUUUAAUCGGUCAGUUUAGUUACUUGUGAGAAAUAAGUGUAAGAAUAAUGAAUGAAAAGUACUAAAAAAAUUUGAGCUGUUGAUCUCCAUUUCCUUCUGUUGAUUUUAUUUUCUGCAAUUAUUUAGUUUUAUUUGUUUCUGCGGACCUUUUGGCCUCUAUGUCAGUCCAAGUUUAAUGUGAUUCAGUCAUCUUUCAAAAAAAGAAGACAAAAACUGCAACUGUAUUACUGGAAAAAUCAAACAUGAUUACAACAACGAGAGAUUAAUAACUAUACAUUAAUUAAUACGGUAUGUAAUUACAUGAUUACUAUUUAGUGUAUACUAGCUAAUUAAAUUCUUGACAAAAUUUACCUAUGACGAUUGAUAUCGAUGAUAAAGAAGAUCACCGCCACAAGACAACCGAGAAAGAAGAAACAGUAAACAGCUUUCCUGAAAUGAAGUCAAACAACAAAUUAAUUAGGCCUUAUAAGUAAUUGUGAGACUACAGAGGAAACAAGAAGAUUUACCAAACUCCCGUUCCACACAAUGGUUCCAAUGUAGUAUUCCUCUCAUAUUUACGCGAUGGAACAUAAUUCUUUGAUGCAAGUUGAUGAGGAUAUUCAACAUCAACACAAAUAACGUUCUCAACAGAAGUGGUGGCUUUUGCUGCAUCCUUAAUAUGACUCAUUUUUCCAGUUCUGGUACCUCUAUCAAUUUGCAAGUUUGUAGCCUGCAAAUUAAAUCUUGUAAGCAACUUUUAUAGUUACAAAUGCAUUUAAGCCAUUAACGUAGAUGAACAUCAGGGGAGAUAAGUUUGGAAUGAUUCUUAAUUUCUUAUGGUUAUGGAAUCAUCAAAUUGUAAUACUUCCCAUAAUUAGUCACAUUCUCACAGCAAAUCGUAGCAGUUAAUUAAAAUGUUAUUUGAUUUUAUUUUCGAUGGUGGUGAUUUGGAUUUUAAUGAAGUAGCUAUCCAAUGAUUUAUUUUAUUAAAUCUUGUCCUUUCAUGCAAAGAAAAAAAAUCUUGUCCUUUUCACUUGUGUUUUAGGUUAGUUGAAGAAUUAUUAUUUGUUCAAUACCUCAUGAUCAUCCUAAGUUGGCCAAUCGUUUAAAAAAAGUGUGUUGACGAUGGAAGAACGGUGGUGACAAAGACGAACCUUAUGUGAACUUGGUGGAUUUCUCCUUCCUGGUAGCUCAACUUGCACUUUGGGAAUGGGUCCUGCAUAAGAGUCUCUGACUGUUUUUAUGCCGUUGGUCGGUCGAAUCAAAAGUCCCCUAACUCUGGUUCUUACCGAGAGUGAGAAGGAAGGGUCAGGAGUCCCCUAACUUUGAUCCUUACAGAUAGUGAGAGUCAAGGAGUGAAGUAUUUUUUUUUUGGCUUAAAUAAGUUUUUGGUCCCUAACCUUUACCAUUAUUUGGUUUUCAUCCCUCGUCGGAGCAAAGGUGAGCUUUGGUCCCUAAACUUUGUCAAAAUAUUUGGUUUUCAUCCCUCCGGCCGUUCGGGUCAACGCCAGAGCUCCGGGAAGCUCAUGUGGCAUUGUCACGUCAUUUAAUGAGCUGAGGUGGAAUUUUUAUUUCUUUUUCAUUUAAAAAAAUAAAAAAUAAAAACACUAAUUAACCUAACCCAGAUCUACAAAGAAAAACUCAGGAUUCAUCAUCUCUUCUUCUUCUUCAACAUUCAACAGUCAACACCAGUGCCUCUGAAGGUGAAGAAAACCAACCCCAGCGCCUGAUCUCGUCUCUCCGUCUGGCCCGCACCGCACACCGUCUCUCCGUUCGCCGUUCUGGAUCCACCUCAAAACCCACAACCCACUACCCCUCAGAACCCAAAUUUCCUAGAUAUACGACCGCCACGACCCAAACUCUGAAUAAUCUUCGUUUUCGUCUUCAACCUUGAAGCGUGAAGCUUCAUUCGUGCUCUGGCAGAACUGGGUGGAGAAUAUGGGUUUUGUGGGUGGAGAAGAGAAAAUGGGUUUGAACAUUGACUUCACGAUGGGAGCAGAAUCAGGAUUCAUUCGAUUUGAAGAAAGUGCAGUCCAAUUCUACAAUUUUCAAAAUACCCAAAUCUGGUCCAACCUUGUGCUCCGACAACCAUGGUUACCUCGUAUGUUAUGCUGCAAUGAGGACUUAGCAUUGUGCGACUGAGAAAGCUGAGUAGGAUGAGGGGUAUACGCAUGAGACAGUGUAGGUGAAAAGAGAACUUCAUGCUCUUAGAAGCCUGGGCCCUUGGCCAUCUCAUCUUUUCUUCUUGUUUUUAUCGAGCAUCUCUGUUUUUGCUCUGUUUCUAUUUUCUUCUCCCCUUCUCUUUUCUGAUUUCUUGUUUUUACCUGUACAAUUUUUGCACCUCUGGUGCUUAUUUAUAUAAUUAAUUGGUUUAUCCCAAAAAAAAAAACCAACAACAGCACAAAAGGAGUACCUUUUCUCAUUGGAAGUCCAGCCAAUACCGGUAGAUGAAGAUGACUUGCUGGGUUUUAUUCCCAUGAAGAUGAAUUGCUUGAUUUUACCUUUUAAUGUUGGCUUAAAUUAUUAAUUUAGGUGAGGGAUUAGUUUGGGUUAAUUGGGUUUUUAAUUAGUGAGUUAAGAGUUUUUAAUUAUUGUACUAAGUUAACUAAGUUAAUUUCCUUUUUAAAAAAAAAACCAGCUGGCCUCAUUAAUCCCAUGUGGCAUUGUCACAUGGGCCAUCGGAGCUCCGGCGUUGACUCAGAGCUUCGAAGGGAUGAAAACCAAAACUUUUGGCAAAGGUUAAGGACUAAAGCCCACCUUUGCUCCGGCGAGGGACAAAAACCAAACAUACGGUAAAGGUUAGGGACCAAAAACUUAUUUAAACCUUUUUUUUUUUUUUUGAUAAUUUGGAGGGUCUGAGACCCCAAGGAGUGAAGUUAUGGCCAACUAGCACAUGAAAUUCAAUACGAUUCAUUUUGGCUGGAAUGGCCGAGGACACAGUGAUAUACUAUUUUUUAAAACGAUAAAUCAAAAGAAGUCUAAGCCAGAUUUUAAACAAAUGAGCAAAAAAAAGUCCCUAAAAUUGAACUGUAUAGGUUGGGUUACUUAUAGGGGACCUCUAGUAUAAACUAGUAUGUAUACCCGUGCCGAUGCACGGGGACAUAUUUCCAAGUAUAUAAUAAUUUGCUUUUAAUAUAUAAAAUUAUUUAUUUUGUAUGAAUGAACAAAAAAAUCUAAAUAUAAUUUAUUGUGUUUUUAAUUUGUUUAUGAUAUAAUAAUACAGUAAUGUGUAUGAUUUUUGUUUUUAUCCUUUUAUUUUCGUUUCUCAUAUCUCCGAAUAAAAUGAUAGAAAAUAUGACUGACAUAUUAAAUUACAUUUUUUUUACACUAUAUCAUUGUGAUUCCCUAAAUAAUUAUACACAAUUUAUAACGUACGGAAAGUACGAUAGAAAAAAUUGAUCACAUUAAAUUACAUUUUUUUACACUAUAUAAUUUUGAUUUCAUAAUCCCGAAAUAAAUACGGACAUUUAAAAAAAUAUAUAAAGAAUGAAACAUAUAGCUCAUUCGGAGCAUUUGAAACGAAAGCUUUGAAAUGAGGAUAUGCGGAAAAAGAUGCAGAAGCUUUCAUGUAAUUUGUGAAUUGCUCUUUCUCUCUCCCUCUCCUCUCCCCCUCCCCCUCCCCCCUCCUCCUCCUCCUCCUCCUCUCUCUCUCUCAUUCAACCCAUUAAAUUAUAAUAAAAUUUGUUUUUUUGUUUAUUUUAAUUAGAAAUAAGUUAAUGUAAACGUUCUUCCUCGACGGAUCCUAUUUUCACAAUCAAAUUGUAAUGCUUUUGUAUAUAUACUCUUAAAAAUAUUUAAAAAGUCUAGAAAAAAAUAUGAAAAUUAUAUUAAAAUAUUUUCUAUUAGUUUUAACUUGAAGGUAUUUUCUUGCAAAAUGGUUCUCAUCGUAUCAACAUUUUACCAUGUAACCUACACCAAUAAAAAGAGACUAUAUAUUUUCAAUCCCUGUGUGACUAUAUAUUUAUAUAUAUUUACUUCUUAAAAUUUAAUUUUGAUUAUUUUUAACUUGAAAAUAUUUUACUGUAAAUGUCCUUCCCUGUGAGAUUCUCAUUUUCACAAUCAAAUUGCAACGCUUCUGUAUAUCUACUCUUAUAAUUAUUUAAAAAGUCUGAAAAAAGUACUAAAAUUAUAACAAAAUAAUAUUUAUAUUAAUUUCAACUUGAAAGUAUUUUCAUGAAAAAAUUUCCUCCCAUAUGAGCUUCUUAAAAUAUAACUUAAACAUAAAAAAAUUUAAACUAUAUAUCUUCAUUUAUUCCAAUUCUCAUCGAAAUUUCAUUUUUUAUAUAUAUAUAUAUACCUUCAAACUUAUGAAAAAAAUUCUAAAAUUACACUUUUUGUUAUUUUCAAACUUAAAAAUAGUUUAAUAUUUUGAUUGUGAAAAAUAGUUUAGUAUAAAUGUUCAUCUCGUGAGAUCUAUAUUUUCACAAUCAAAUUAAAAUGGUUUUGUAUAUCUACUCUUAAAAUUAUUUAAAAAUAUGGAUUAAGUACUAAAAUUUUAUUAUAACAUUUUCUAUUAGUUUCAAUUUCAAGUAUUUUCAUGCAAAAUGUUCCUCAUGUAGGAAUUUUCUACUAUAUAAUUAAUAAGUAUAGACUAAAUAUGUUUAUUUUUCUCUAAUUCCCCGUGGGAGCCCUAUAUUCAGAAUCAAAUUAUAGUGUUUAUGUAAAUCAAACCGUUUUUAAAGUAUUUUCAUGCAAAAUGUUCUCAUGUAGGAGACUUUUAUUAUAUAAUUAAUAAAUAUAUAGUAAAUAUGUUUAUUUUUCUCUAAUUCCUCGUGGGAGCCCUAUAAUCACAAUCAAAUUAUAAUGCUUAUGUAUAUCUGCUCUUAAAUUAUUUAAAAACGUAUGAAAAAUUACUAAAAUUAUAUAAAACAUUUUAUAUUAAUUCUAACUUGAUAGUAUUUUUAGAUUCAAAAAAAAAAAACUUCAUAGUAUUUUCAUGCAAAAUGUUCUUCAUGUAGGAGCUUUUUACGAUAUAAUUAAUAAAUAUAGACUAAAUAUGUUUAUUCUACUCUAAUUCCCCGUGGGAGCCCUAUAUUCACAAUCAAAUUAUAAUGUUUUAAAUUAUUUUAAAGGGAAUGAAAAAUUACUAAAAUUAUAUUAAAACAUUCUCUAUUAGUUUCAACUUGAAAGUAUUUUCAUGCAAAUUAUUCCUCAUGUAGGAGUUUUUUACUAUAGGCUUAAAUACUCUAGGGGUCCCUGAAAUUGUACCCUGUAUCAAAAUAAGUCCUUGAAAAUUUUUUUUCCGAUUCCGGAUCCCUGGAAUUGUUUUUUUAAUCAGAAUAAGUCCCUACGCCGGAGAAGACGGUGGUUGACGACGGCGGUCAUGGCGGCGCUACGACCAGGGUGUUGGGCCGGCUUCGUCUCGUCCUCAGGAACUCAGUGGUGGUGGUCUCGUGGGCUGGGUCGUCACAGUUGAAGAGAAAAGGCCAGUCGCAAGUUGAUUUCUUCUCGCCGGAAUUUAUGGAGCUUCUCGGUUUCUUCGUUUUAGCUUUGUUUCUUGCGAUUCCUUCGCCCAUAUCAGAUAUAUGAAGGUCUAGGAGUGUUUUAAACAUGUUAUUUCAUGGUUUGUGGAAACAAUGAGGAGGCAACCACUGUCUUCUCCGGCGUAGGGACUUAUUUUGAUCAAACAAAUUUUUCUAGGGACCCGGAAUCGGAAAAAAAAAUUUCAGGGACUUAUUUUGAUACGGGGUACAAUUUCAGGGACCUACAGAGUAUUUAAGCCUUUACUAUAUAAUUAAUAAAUAUAGACUAAAUAUGUUUAUUCUACUCUAAUAAUAUAAUAAUAUUUAAAAAUCAGAAUAAUUAUUCCUAAUUUCCAAUGCUGAAAUAGUUAUAAAACUAUCAAAUUUUAAUUUUUAAGAAGUUUAUUUGAAAUUAAUAAAAAAGUUAGUAUUUUUGUUAACAUAAAUAUUUUACCAGCUGAUUAAUGUAUCAAUACGCUCGUAUACAAACAAUAUUUUAUUUAUAUAAUUUAAUUAAAAAACUUUGUAUCUUCUUAAUCUUUGUUCUCAAAGAUGUGAUUAAUUCAUCAUUUUAUUCUUAAAAAAUAUUUAGUAUCAAAAAUUCAUAUUUAAGGGGAAAAGAUAAUGAGCUAAAGCCAAUCUAAGUGAAUCAUGAUAAAUGCACCAAUCCUCUACAUGGAUACAUUUUUAAUGAACAGAGAUAUAUUAUAUUAACUUUCUGAUACAUAGGCAGGGCCGGCCUUGGGCCUGUGCAAGCAGGCCCACAGCCCAGGGCCUCCAAAAAGAAGGGGCCCCAAAAAAAAAUUUGUGAGAUAUAUUUCUAAAAUAUAUAAAUUAUUAAUGUUCGAAAAUAUUCUAAUAUAGUGAGCUAGUUCAAUGGAUAAGCACUAUGCUCUGGAACCUGUGUGGUACAGGUUCAAAUCCUCCUGGCGGUAAUUUUUUAGCCAUUAAUUCGAAUUUAAAUUCCAAAUUUAUGCAAAAAGUCGGGUCCCUGGGAUUCGAACCCACGAGACGCGAGCUGCAUGGCCAGUAGAUGCGUUGCCAAGCGAACCAACACAUUGCUAGUUAAUAAUUGCGGACAUUAAUUCUAUAUAGCGGUUUUUUAAGAGCUUAAUUAGCAUUGAAAUGUGAAAGGUUUCCUUGGGUUCUUCUACCUAAUUUACUAGAUAAGUGGAUAUUAAUUGGUGAACCAAUUAACUCUGAAAAUGCUUAAUGGGUUAGCAUUGAUAGCAAUUGAGAAUAAUAUGUUGGAGAAUAUACAAUAUGAAAAUUGAUUGAAAGUUUUGCUUCAAAAAAUGCUAGGAGAGAGGCUUUUUUUAAGUAGUUAAAUUUUUUUUUGGAUUAUAUUGACUAGAAUAUGAAAUUUUGUUUAUGUUAGUCACAUAUUUUUGAAGUUGUUGAUGUUAUUUAUAAUUUAAAUAGAUAAUGUUUUUUUUUUUAAAAUUAUUGGGGGUCCAUUUUUAUUAUUUGUCCAGGGCCUCCAAAAUGUCGGGACCGGCCUUGUACAUAGGAAUAAGGAAAAGUCAUGUUUUAGCCUCCAAAUAUAAAUGAAUGCCAAAGCAGCACCUUAACCAACAUAGUAUUCUUUGUAUGUUUUGUCCUCCUUCUUUAUCAUGUUUCAAAAACUAGAAGAUAGAGAAAGCUUCCCUUCGGAUAGAAAGAGAUGUUUCUUUUUAUUGAAGUCAUCAACCUCUAUAUAUUCAUGUUUUCUUUAAAUUGUCCUCCUUCUUUAUCAUGUUUCAAAAACUGGAAGAUAGAGAAUGCUUCCCUUCGGAUAGAAAGAUGUUUCUUUUUAUUGAAGUCAUCAACCUCUACAUAUUCAUGUUUUCUUUAAAGCAAGAGAACUCUGAAAAUUUCUUUCUCAAGUUUAUCAAAAACACUUACAGAAAGCCUUAACAAAAAACAUGCAUCAUUGAAGAUUAAUGUAUUAAAAAAGAGAUGACAAUGCUACAUUUUUUAACAUUUUUUUUCUAGUUCAUUUUCUCUAUCCAAAAUCAUUUCUCCCAUUGACUUCAUAUGUCCAAAAUCAUCGAGUUUCCUUGAUGUAGUUUCAAAGCAGCUCUUCACAUUAUCAAAUCAUGUCAAACCUGUUCAAGCUACGCGUAUUACCUAGGGAAAAUAGUAGUAUUAAAUGCAAAUGAAAAUGUAAUUAAUUACAUUCAGCCAAAGAAACAACCUGGAGCUAUGCACAAUUUUUAAGUAAGUAAAAUACAAUUUCAGUCCUCUCCUCCCUUUUCUAUCUUCUAUAGUCAAAUAAUUUUUUCAUCUUUAAUGGUUUAUCCAAGUGAAAAUCUAAUUACAUUCACUAUCAUGUACCUCUCUUUCCCACUUCCCUGAUGAAUUAUGACCCUAAAUCCCAUCUUCUAGAGCAGUUAUCAUAAUUACUACUAUUAUUAUUUAAGUUUUAAAAUCAAAUGAUCAACAUUGAAGUGCAUACUUUUACACACGACAAACCGUAUUUUAUUUCACGGGAAAAAGUACAAAAUUUUUUAUUAAAACAUUUUCUAUUACUUUCAAUUUAAAGUAUUUUCAUGCAAAAUGUUCAUCAUGUAGGAACUUUGUACUAUAUAAUUAAUAAUUAUUGACAAAAUAUGUUAGUUCUUCUUUAAUCCUCUGUGGCAGCCCUAUAUUCACAAUCAAAUUAUAAUGCUUAUUUAUAUAUACUCUAAAAUUAUUUAAAAAGUAUGGAAAAUUUACUAAAUUGUAUUAAAACAUUUUCUAUUAAUUUCAACUUGAAAGUAUUUUCAUGCAAACUGAUCCUCAUGCAGGAUCUUUUUACGAUAUAAUUAAUAAAUAUAGACUAAAUAUGUUUAUUUUUCUCUAAUUCCUCGUGGGAGCCCUAUAUUCCCAAUAAAAUUAAAAUAUUUAUCUAUAUUUACUCUUAAGUUAUUUAAAAAGUAUGAGAAAAGUACUAAAUUAUAACAAAACGUUUUCUAUAGUUUCAACUUGAAAGUAUUUUCAUGCAAAAUGUUUCUCAUGUAGGAGCUUUUUACUAUAUCCUUGUGGCUACCAUAUAUUCACAAUUAAAUUAUAAUGCUUAUGUAUCUUUACUCUUAAAUUAAUUAAAAAGAGGGGGAAAAGUACAAAAUUAAAUUAAAACAUAUUUUCUAUUAAUUCCAAAUUGAAAGUAUUUUGUUGUAAAAGGUUUCCACUUGUAUGAGCUUUUUAAUAUGUAAACCCUCUAAUUAUUCUCCUUUAAUACAACCGUUGCAAUUCCUACCAAGAAAACAUUUUAAAUUUAAAUUUCCUUAUUUAAAAAAAAAAAAACGUGUAGACAAACAGAGUAAUAUUCUUCUAUAUUCAAAUGAUGUGCAAUGGAGACAAUUAUACCAUAUAAUUAUUCUAUUUUAAAUCAUCAGCACCAUUUCUUAUAUUUUAAUGGACUUAACCCAACACCUUACAGCAAGAGCUAACAACACCUAUGUCCGAGAUCUCGAAGGCACCCCUCUCUUUUAAGAGGAUUCUAAAACUAAUUUCCAUUGUGAAACCCAAUCAAGUUUAUAACUUGAAAGUAUGUUCAUGCAAAAUGUUUCUCAUGUAGGAGCUUUUAUCAUAUAAUUAAUAAAUAUAGACUAAAUAUGUUUAUUUUUCUCUAAUUCCCCGUGGAAGCCCUAUAUUCACAAUCAAAUUAUAAUGUUUUUGUAUAUCUACUCUUAAAUUAUUUAAAAAGUAUGGAAAAUUUAUUAAAAUUAUAUUAAAACAUUUUUAUUAGUUUCAACUUGAAAGUAUUUUCAUGCAAAAUGUUCCUCAUGUAGGAGCUUUUUACUAAAUAUGUUUAUUUUUCUCUAAUUCCUCGUGCAAGCCAUAUAUUCACAAUCAAAUUAUAAUGUUUCUGUAUAUCUACUCUUGAAUUAUUUAAAAAGUAUGAGAAAAGUACUAAAAUUAAAAUAAUACAUAUUUUCUAUUAAUUCCAAUUGUAAAGUAUUUUCAUGUAAAAUGUUCCUUCCCAUAUGAGUUUUUUACUACGUAACUUAAACAUAAACAAUAUAGACUAUAUAUGUUAGUUUAUUUCAAUUCCUGUGACAAAUUUUUAGUAUCAAAAUUUUAUAUUUUUAUAUAUAUUUACUUUUAAACAUACGAAAAAUACUCUAAAAUUGUGUUAAAAUAUUUUUUAAUUUUAACUUUAAAAUAUUUUAAUGUAAAUGUGUUCUUCCCCAUGAGAACCUUAUUUUCACGAUCAAAUUGUAAUGCUUUGGUAUUCACUUAAAAUUAUUUAAAAUGUAUUGAAAAAGUACUAAAACUCAACACUUUCUUUUAGUUUCCACUUAAAAGUAUUUUCACCAAAAAUAUCCAUCUCGAUAAGGAUUUUCUACAUUCGUAAAAAAAAAUUAUAUUUUUAUAGACAUAUUUAGUAUUUUAAAAAAUUGGUCCAUUCCGAAGUUUAAAAUAAUGAUAAGUUGCAAUUCUAAAGGGUCUUGCCCUUAAUUCAACAUAAGCUUCUUGAUUUAUAAAACUGGAAUUCCAGCAAAAUAUUUUUAAACAGAUCAAAACGAUUGUUAUUAUUUUCCAAUUUCAACUACUUGUGUUAUUAACUGGCACAAUUCUACCCAAAAAAACUUUCUCCAUUAAUAUAACAUCGUGUUAUUUCAAAUAUAUAAACAUAUAACUUUCAAAAAAAAAAUAAAUAUAUAGCACUGUGUUCUGUACAACUUUUAUUGCAUUUUGUUUCAAAAGAUUGGCUUUCCAAAAAAUUAGUAUCUCUAAGAACAUCUCCAAUGCUAGUUCUUAUUUCUUAGUUCUUAGCACUAUUGAUGUGGGCCCGUAUUACCACAUGUGUUUAAACAAUUCUCAAGCAAUUUUGCUCAAACCAUGAGUUCUUAGUUCUUAUUUCCUACCACUAUUCAUUUGGUCUCACCAACCGUAUUAUUUAUAUUUUUUAUUUUCAUAAAGUAAUCAAAAAAACUCAUAAAGUAAUAAAGUAAUUUGUAUGAGAGAGAAAUAAUUAAUAUUUUAAGCUAAGAACUCAAAAAACAAAACUUCUUAUAUAAGAACUGAGUUCUUAUUUUUAAGAACUAAGGAGUCCAUGUCAGCACCUCCAAUGGUAAAGUUCUUAGUUCUUAACUCCAAAAUAAGAACUAAGAACCUUGCAUUGAAGAUGCUCUAAUACUUCAAAGAUUUUAAUUCCAAUCUCUUUUCAAGACCAAGAAGAGUGGAGAAUAAUGAAAAGAACAAUAAUAUAUAUAUUAAAAAAUCAACAUUGGUUAUAUUUUACUCCCUCCGUUCCUAAAUAUAAGACCUAGUUUCAAAAUUUUGAAGUUCCUAAAUAUAAGACCUAGUUACAAUAAUCUAACAAAAGGUUUGUACUCUUCCAUUUUUACCCUCCACAUUAAUUAUAUGUUUUCAAUUCCCAAGUUUUUAUUACCACUUACCAUUAAUUAGUGAGAGAAAAUGACAAAGGGUAAAUAUGGAGGAAUGUAUGCAUUUUUAAAAAACCAAUACACUAAUUGAAUACAUUUAAUGUUUUCUUAAUAAGCGCAAUUUUUUGUAUUAGGUCUUAUAUUUAUGAACGGAGGGAGUAACUGUCUAGACAGUCUAGUCGUACCAACCAAGACACAAUGGUGUAUUUCUUCAAGAGAAAUGACUAAACAUAAGGACAAAAGUAUGUCGAAUUGACAUAAGAGCCAUAUUUUCACUUAUAAGGAUACAUUGGAAAUUUUGUUACUGACUUCAUUUCAACAACGUUGGAAAAUUAUUUUCGGCCAAUGCGCGUCCCUGGAGCUUUUCUAGCAAAACAGAAAUUGAAAGGUUAUGAUACUUUUAAUUAAUUUAUUCAUUUUAAUCUCUAACAUGCAUAUUUUUGUCUUUAGUGUCUUGAAAUCCUCAAGCUUCAAUGUACUUAUCCCAAGACUUCUUUGCACUGUUAUUAUGUAAAAAGAAAGUCAGUUACUCAUAAAUUAGUUCAUAGUCCAUGACUCAAAAUGUAAAAAAUAAAAAAACUACAGGGGUUCAAAUAAGUUCUUUUGGAUGCAAUCAGUUCAGUUCCAUUGAAAUUAAAUCAGCUAGAACAAAUUGGUGGCCAACCAUCAUACUCAAUCCUCAUAUGCUCGAGCAAGCAUUUUAAACUACAACAGGGUGCAAAUACAAAUAUCAGGUUUGGAUUUACUUGGCCGCUCGUUCUUAUCACUGUAGAAUUAAAAUUCCCAAAAGAAUGUAGGUAAUAGUUCCAAACAAUUUGUGAAUAUUUGCAAAGUAGCUUAGACAAAGGCAGUAAAGAAACAAAAAGGGUGCAGAGCUGUAGCAGAAACACCAGCACCAAAGGAAGUCCUAACACACCAGGACCUUUUCACGAACACUGAAGCGCCCAAGCAAGUCACGAACCACAUAGACCUUCGAACAGAAUCAGAAAGAGGUGGAAGCACCGUAGUGAUCUGAAAGUGCAAUUAAAAAAUAUGAGAAGGAUAGAACUUAUGAGAAACAAAGAGUAAAUUUAGAAUUUGAAGAAAAAAAAGAUAAAAGCGGAAAAGAACGCAGAAAAUGAAAAGAGCUUUUCCAGAUUCAUAAAGGAACAGUCUGAUGCAGGGAGAAGCUAAUAAUUCAAAACAACAAAUUCAGAACAUGUAGCACAUGUUCUUGUUGGUAGAUUUAAUGAGCAACUCCGAUCCAGAGUGGCAUUCAUAAAGUAUACUAAUGCAAAAACUUCUCUUUUUCAACUUCACUUCAUGUAGAUCACUGCAUAUCAUUUACUUUAAAAAAAUGGUGAGAAAGAAUACACAAACCUCUUUAGCUCGUAACUGACUUUAACUGCUUAACCAAAAUAAGAAAAAAAAUACAUGAACAGGCAUAAUCAAUCCAAGGAGAUCAACUAUGACAAUAAAAUAGUAAUGGAUACACAAUUGAUAGAUGAUUCCGUGAAUGUCCUAUAAAAUAUAUAAAAGUCUCUAGAAAAUAUACUGAAUUCCAAAAUGAAAGUAAGUUUCUCUCAUCUUUUUUAGCAGAACUGUAGAGCUAUCUUCAAAGUAAGUGUGAAAGUACCAAGAAGCAAUAUAAAGAAUAAAACUUAAUAAGAACCUGGGUGUAACCUUAGGAAUUUGGAAUUGCCAAGAGCCUAAAAUCCUAGCAGCAAACUUUCAUAUCUCUUUCCAUGCAAUGACUUCACUCAUCCUAUCAUACAAAUUCACCAUUAGAUUAGGGUUACUAUGAAUAAGAGAGGGGAAAGGAAAAUUACGCAGUACAGAAGCUGGAUAGUAAUUGACUCGGAUUUAAGUGUGGACCGUGGAUGGAAUAAAGAUUAUUAGAAGCAAUUUAUAGCAAGAGAUAAAAUUGAUUGAGUAAUUGAGCAUUUAACCUGGAACCUUCACUCAGACCAAUCAGAGGAAGAUGAAUUUGAAAUCUUCAAGCACAACAUAGAAAUCGAAGAGACUAUAGCAGCUAUCAAGAAUACUAUCGUAGGAGAUAGGAAAAAUGUUCAUGCAUAUUUGUCUAACCUAGAAGGCAACGUGGGAAAAAACAAAUCAAUCAAAUGAGCUGUCAAAUAUUGAAAAGAGAAUUUGGGCUUUAAAUGAGAUUUUGAAAAGAGUAAUUAACGUUUAAAAAUGAUUGGGUAUCAAAGAGGUGAGAUUUAAAAUUAUAAAAAAGUAAGAUAAGAAUGUUGUAAUCUGUUUUAAAAGAAACAAAAAAAAAAACUGUUUUAAAAGAAAAAAAAAAAGAUGAUUGGCUAUAAAUAUGGUAGUGGUAGACAAAUUGUGUUUAACCAUUAAUAUGGGAUAUAAUGCAAGAUUGAAAAGAUAUCCCAUUAAUUUUUUUGGUAAACAGAUAUCUCAUUAAUAAACGUGCAUGAACUAUUUUAGCUAUCAGAUAUUAAUAAUUAAGAAAGUUUGAAUUAAUAAUUAAGAAUUUUUUUUAAAUGAUUUAAGUUGUUAAACAGUGAUUGGCUUAGAAGUAGGUAGUGGAUAAUUAAUGUGAAGUAAUAAUCAAUGUUAGUCAAAUUUAAGAUUAAAAAUAUUUCGAAAAUAAAAUAAAUUACAGGUGCUAUUACAUGACUACCCUUAGAUAAAAAAACAAUUAGCAAAGAUGCCACUCCCAAGUUUCCAAAAGUGGUAAUAAGAUUUUUUUUUUUUGAUUUUUUUUAAUCAUGGAAAAAUUGCUGAAACCUCCUUCAUUGUUUGCCAAGUGUCAAAACUUGUCAUCUUUUAGGUUCUCUUUUAUAUACUAUUUAGAUUAGAUAAAUAUGUGGUUAUAUACUAAUUGUGACUUAUUGAGUUUGACUUGAAAUUAUGCUGUGAUAUGAUAUCACUAAAGUUUGUUAUCAUUUCUCAUGCUUUCUACUUCUAGUCAACAAAUCUAAGGUCGAACAAUGCUAAAGAAGAUAAUGGAGAAACAUGAGACAUGAUUAUGUCAUUUUAUGUUAAAGAAGAUAAUGGAGAAACAUGACACAUGACAUGAUUAUGAAAUCUAGUGGUGAAUUUCAAGCUCCAUUAAACAUAUUUACAAAUCAAACUCAAGAAGUUACAAAUAUUUACCAGCACACCACCUAUUUUAAUGGUAUAUCUUCUUAACUUUUUCCCCAGGAACUUAGCUAUCUCGGAUUAUAUUGGCUCAACCUGAUUUACACAGCUGAAAGAUUCAAUGCAAAAACUGCUAAAGAAGACAAAUUCAUAUGAUAAUGAAAUUAGAGAAAAUAGCCGCUGCUGCACUAAACUAAAUUACAACUAGACAAUAUUUAUUCACACAUGUGUACUUACAACAAAGCCUCAUGCAUCUGCACUUCAAGAGGCUUAAAAACAUAUAGGACUGCUCAUGUAUGAAGCUAAAAAAAAUUAAAAUUCAAAAAAACAAAUUUCAUGUAUCACUCCAGGUAUCAUCAUCUUCUUCGCCAUCAUCGCUCCCAACAACCUGCAAGUUUUCUCAGAUAAUGGAUGCAGAGUUAGAUGCAAAAUGCAAGCAGUAAUGAAAAAAUAGUAUUAGAUAACAGAAGAGGAGUGAGGAAUACCUGACGAAUUGCAUUUGCUUUCUCCAAAAUUGCUGUAACCUUGACGCUUGCAGUGGGAACCGUGGUAGCAUUUGGCUUCCCUGUUACUGUGGGCCGCAGGUUGAAGGACUGAACCAAUAAAUGACAAGUCAAUGCAAAAGUUAACUUUAAUAAACAUGAUUUCUUAGUUUGCUACAUUAUGUUAUGUACUGAUAUGGUUCAGAUUUAGACUUGGUGUGCGUUUGGAUAGCUAGCUUAAUUAAGUGCUGAUGUCAAUAAACGCUAAUAAUAGGUUAUAGGUAAUAAGCGCUUAUACAUAAAUUAAUCUCAACACCUUAUGAAAAUAGGUACAUAAGUUCUCGCAAAUACUUACAUAAACGCUUAUGCUAUAAGAUAAGCUCAAGUAAACAGAUCUUAAUGGUUGAAAGGUAUAGCCCAGUUCAAGAUAUAUAUACAUUAUAGUCACAAGUAAACUAGAGAUCCUUAGUCCUAAUAGAAUGUGAUUUCUUAUCAAUUACAAUUCUCUAAUGUUGCCCCAUCUUUUUAUGAAUCCGGAUCCUCUCCUGCGGCUGCAGGUGCAACCAAGUAUAAAAAGUGAAUUGUACAGUAAAUCAUUUAAUUUAUCUAUCACUUUCAAUCAAUCUCAGCCCUUAAAAUUGAAGAUCAAUGGCUAAUAUUCUACUAGGAGGGUGAAGGCAAAGUGGCGGGAGAGGAUCCAAACUCAUCUAGAAACGAGGAGAAAUAUUAGAGGAAUAGUUUCACACUCAGCAUAAUUAUCAUCUACUACUAAAUCAUGAAUAAAUGCAAAUUUCGGUCCUCCAAAGUCCAAAGUAAUAAAUAUCAUGAGAUGAAUCUUCCAUUUAUAAAUACAUCAAAAUAACUCUUCAAAGUCAAUCUUUAUCAUCAAUUGAGUCAAACAGAGGACUUAUUUGAUGUCAUGUUAGGGACAAAUUUGAUGCCAAACAUUGAAGUAUUUAACAUUUAAUGACUACUUUGAGUUGUUUAUAAUUGGAUGAAAUCGACAACACUUGAUUCUUUGGAGUGCAAAACUGAAUAUUGACCCUUAAAUCGUUGAAACUAUAAUAUAACUACUUACUUUUGCUCUGAUUUGAUGUAGGAAAUCUUCCCUUUCAUCUGUCUCCUUUCCCAUUCUCAACUGGUUUGCUUCCUUCCAACCAUUCAACUUUGGUUGAUCCAGCUGCAGGAAAGGCAUAACAAGAUGAAUACUUUUUGUUAGAUUCCAUUAUCCACCAUGGUUGCAUAACUAUAAUGUUUUAGUAAAGGAAAUGAGACCAAUGAGUACCUUCUCCUUCAGUUGGUGUAUCAUGUUUUCAUAAGACUCGUGGCCGUCAUGAUUACUUUGUAUUUGCUCAACCUUUGCGAUCCUACGUUGCUGGAAGAUAGUAGAUUCCGAAAGACUUCGGUUGUAAAUAUGUUCAGCAUCUUCAGACAUAUUGUUUUGAGUCUCAUUUGUCACAUCCAACUGUGGUUUUGAGACCCGGCAUUGAGUCGGAGGAAGAGGUGGUGGUCGUGGUGGGGGUGGUGGUGUAGGCUCUGCUUGGCUAUGUAACAUGACAACAUUAUUGCAUUUGGAAUGUUCAUUACUUUCUUUCUCAAAAAAGGGAUUCACAGUAUCAUAACUUGGGAAGUCAAGUGAAGACCCGGAUAAAGAAGGUUCCACACCAUUUGUAUUAUAUGUACCAUGUCCACAUUUUAUGUUGGUAUCAUCAUUGGACACUCCACCAUGUACUUUUGAACUUAACAUAGGUUCACUGUGAGGAGAAUCAAGUACCCCAUGAUCACUGCUUUCAGGAGUUUCAUCAGAUUCCCACUGAUCAGAAUCAUAGUCAGAGCAAGGGGUAUGACAACCAUCUGAAACAUACGGAGAUGAUCUACAGAAAGUAUCAUCAUCAUCAGAGUGAGAAACUGAAUCAUCCAGAGGAAUGGAAGAAGACUCUGGGACCAACUGGAAUGAAGGAAACAUCUCCCUUAUACUUUCAUGGUGAUUACUUCCAUCAGGAAACUUCAGUUUUAAUUUGGAGAUCUCGAGUCCGCUGACAGGACGGAAGGAUAUUUUCAUAUUUUCAAGUGGCGGUGAAGGAGGAAGUGAAUCUAUAGGAUAUCCAGAACCAGCUUUCUCUUUAAAGGUCGUCUCAGGAAGUGGUUGGUCGGCGGUGUCAUUUUGUCCACUCUGCUCCAGUAUAACAGAUCUCAGAGAAUUAUAAGGUCCAGAUUUUUCAUCAAAAGAAACUUUUCGGUUGAAGCUUUUUAAUAACAAUCGAGGACCAAGUCCAAACAUCCGUGAUGAGUUUUCACCGUUUCCCUGGCUGUGUUCAGUACAAUCCCUUGUGGCAGGUCCAGCUGGGAGAACACUUCCAGGUGCCAUAACCCCGGCUUCUGCCAAACUGUUCCUCUCGGUUUGACAAAAUCCAUUACUCAGCUGAGAACUGCCAGAUGUCUUUUCAGAUAUACAAGAUCGACCAUCAUUAUGCCUUGCUGUUGAGAAUCCAAAACUUGAUCCCUUUCGAUUCUGUUCAGUAACCUCGUGCGAUAACUCCUGUUGCUCUUUAUGACCAUUGCUCUUUUGCAUUGAAUCAUGACGUGAAACACCAUCCAUCUCGCUUUUUGAGCUCAAAGGCCCUUGACUUAAAGAACUUGACUUGUCAAAGUCAGGAGGUUUUGAUGGCUCAAGUCCUAAUAAUCCACCAUUAGUCCAGAAUGAAACUGGAUGAUCACCCAAAGAAUCUCUUCGUGUCUCUUCAUAUUUGCAGAUACUGUUGUUGAUUUUACCAGCUUCUUCAUCUGGUGAAUUAGAGCUUCUAGAAUCAGAAAAUGAUAUAUCUGUUUUAAUGGGUGCUGACACUGUAUCAUUAGCGGUAUGAGAACCACUGAAGGUAUGAGUGUAUACUGAGUGAUCUAAAACAUCAUUUUUAUGUGUAUGACGAUCCUGUUCAGAGUUGGGACUCUCAGAUGAAUGAGAAUCAGCUACAUUCUUGGUACUAGAAACAUCAGAUGAACUUACAUAACCCAAAUUAGAUGCAUGUGGCUCUGGUGUGAGAGGAGGAAUUCCCUGCUGUGAGUCAGGCAAAUUCCCAAACAUUUCUUUGUUUAAGGAAACAGCCUCUCUGGUAAUUUCUUGGCUAUGAAGAAUAUCUGACAGAUUCUCAGGUUCUGCAUGUGGCUCUGGUAUGAGAGGUGGAAUUUCUUGCAGUGAGUCAGGAGAAUUCCCAAGCAUUUCUUUGUUUACGGAAACGGUCUCUCUGGUAAUUUCUUCGCUGUAAGCAACGUCUGAUGGAUUCACAGGUUCUGAAUUAGACACAUGUGGUUCUGAAGGGACAGGAGGAAUUUCUUGUGGCAAAUCAAGCUCCCUGAACGCUUCUUUGUUUAAGGAAUCAGGGUCCCUGGUAAUUUUUUCGCUAUCAAGAACAUCUGAUGGACUUACCGAUCCCAAAUUUGAUGCAUGUGGUUCUGAUGGGAGAGAAGGAAUUUCUUGCAGAAAGUCAGGCUCCCUGAAUGCUUCUUUUCUUACGGAAAAAGUGUCUCCGGUAAUUCUCAUGCUAUCAAGAACAUUGGAUGGACUUACCAAUCCCAAAUUUGAUGCAUGUGGCUCAGAUAUGGGAUCACUUUCUUCCUCACCUGUGUCUUUAUUUAAGGGGACAGUUUGCAGAACAUCGGAUACAUUAUUGUCUAAUAAUUUAGAAGGAGAUCUAGUAACUUCAUUUUCAACCAUUCCAUCAGUGACAAGUGAAGUGAACCGCUGCAACUCUCGUUUUGUUUCAUAAUCAAGAUCAAUUUCAGAUUCUGAUUCAAUGGUGUUAAGAGCAUCCAUGUAAUCAUCAGGUUCACUGUCAAUGUCGUCUAUUUGAACCCUGCUGGAGACCUGUUUCAGGUUUCUUUCUUCAUUGUAUAGGAUAUCAUUAUAAUCAAUAUUUGUUGUGGCAACAGCCUCUUCCACACGCAUAUCUGAGUCAUGCUUUUCCACAAGCCUCUCUGUAAUUUUAUCUGUAUCACAGGCUUGACUAUUAGAUUCCACUAUCUCCUCUUUUUCAUCCCAAGUAACACCUGAUGAACUAGAGGCAAUUUUCUUUUCCAAUGAAUCAUGUGAAAUACUAUCAUCUAUAGCAGGAGAUACAGACUGACGAUUAUUGAUUUUCUGUGUCGACCUGGAAGAGGAUGGUUCCUUACAAUCCUGCUCAUCAGGUUGCAGAUAAUUACUUGGAUGGAAAACACAUUCUAUGUAUCCAGCACCAGACUUUGAAUCGAAAGAAUUUGAAUAAUCCUCCAUAUCUGAUUUCAUUGCCAUGUCUAUUGUGGAGGCUGCUUGUGAGGAAGAAGUUCGGCCAUUGAUAGUGGAAGAACUAAAUUGCAUUCUGGGGGAGAGAAUAUACUAUGUAAGUGUUGAUUUUGAAUAUACAAUAUGUAUGCCAUAAGUAAGUAUGCAAUAGACAUAUAAGUUAUACCUGCCACUACUGCUAUGCAUCUGUUCACCCCUUAAAAGUUCCCUAGUCCUUCGUGAUGAUCUUCUCUUCUGUCAAACAUUUUUUAUAUAAGCACCAAUAAAUUGUUUGCAAAGAAAUUAAAUGCAAGCAUAUGACAGGAAUGAAACUCAGUUAAAAAUAAUCUUCCAUUGAAAGGCUUGGAUCAUCAUAGUACCUUGCUUUUACGGGAUUUCCUAGCCUUUUCAGUCUUCUCAGAGUACGGUUCGUCUAAAUCUGUAGAUACUCUCCUGAAGAAGGUUGGAUCAGAAUAUCUACGGAAACAAGAUCCAGGACCACUAGUAUCGAAUCUGAUUGACACAUGAAAUUUUUCAUUAACGAUUACCGCGAGAUUAGCUGACAUAGUACUUGAUACUUUCAGAGCUCGAAAGAAAACAGAGAGAUGGGCAAAAUGGACAGGGACAUGAUCCAGGCACACCAUUACGAAUUUGAAACGACAUGAAAUAUUUCAUCAUCUAAUAGUUGGAAAUUAGUUUAAGCUGUAGUACUGAACUAAAUUUGCUAUUUUCAAACAGAAAGACAAACAGGGAAAGGAAGGGAAUCGAAAGAAAUUUCAACAUACUUAUCAAGCAAGUGCACACGCGGAGGUUCACGGCAUUCUUCAUAUGAGUCCAUCAUAAAGUGAGGCAAGUCAUUGUAUAUGAAAUGAUUUCGUGCAGUUUUUAUUCGUGGAUGCCAUUCACAACCUGAAAAUAAACUGCUUUUCAUCAAGAACUCCUAUAUUGACUGAAAAUCAACAUCAUGAGCAUUAAAUAAUGUAGUAUUCCAUAUUCAAUACAAAAAUAUAAAUGUAUGGUAUCUAUGCAAAGCUAAUUUACUGCCACUUGAGUGCUUGAGUAAUUGCUGAUUCAGAUUAAAGUUAAUUUGAGAUAAACAUACUGCCUGAAUGAUACAAGUGAAACUUGAAUUCAAGUUUUGCGCAUCUUUUGCAGGUCCUAGACUACUUAUGCAUUCCAUGCUAAACAGAACAUAAUUCACAAAAAUAAUGUGUUCAUUUCCAGCAAAUCCUCAUACAAGAUGAGAUCAAUGCUUAAAAGGACCAUACCGGCUGUGUAAGCAAAAUGUAUGUGACUUGUUUGUGCUAAUACAGCCCUCUCCAAGGAAGGCAGGGACGCUUCAAUGUUCCGUACACGAACAUUCAAUCUAUGACUCCUAGAAGCUGUUGUCAUCACUUGCUCCUGCAGACCAUGAAAAACCUCUGCUGCAAAACUACAUUUUCAAAAAAAGCUACAUCAGUAAAACUCAACAUCAAUACAAACAAACACCAGAAGGAAAACUAACUACUUAGAUAAAAGUGCAUUCAUAACAUGAUAUUAAACAAGGUUUCAAGAAGCAUAGAGAAAAUGCCACAAUUAUCAAGAACUGCUCAAUCGUCCGACACCAGAGACUGGGGCACACAUACUAAACAUGUAAACAGAAAGUGGAAUUCAAAUCCACACAAGACAUACCAUUAUUUCUUUUAACAUUAUAUCUUUUUGUGAUUUAUUUUAACACAAACAUAACACGAGAUCUUUGCAAAAUUUAGUAACAAAAAACACAGACCAUAAGCAAGGAUUUAUAGCAAGCAAAACUAACAGUAAUCACUAGCUAUCUGCAGGAAGUUGCUUUGGUAAAGAUACAUCUUCUCUUUGUACACAGAAAACCAGUUAUAUCCAUAAUGGAUCAGAUUAGUAAUAGUACUUCUACUAUGAACUAUAUCUACAGUUGUUUUGCUGGAGUAUGAGAUGGAAUUAGUUUAGUGUCAAGAAGAAAUGGAAGAAAGAAUCAAGAUUUAGUAAUGAUAUUAGAGCAAGGAAGCAUUUUUAGGUGAGUUCCAUUCCUUCCAAACAUUUCACCUUGUGAACCAACCACUCAAAGUUCUAAGAGGCUAAAAGCAUAACAGUGAUGAUUAUCCAAAGAGCAACCAAGUUAUAGCUGUACUGUACACAACCAAUAACUGCCUACAAAGCUGAAAUCCAUCCAAUGGGAAAGCUCAGAAAAGAAAAAAAGUCAAAGAGCAUUAUGUCACUACCAAUUGAAAAUCCCCAAAAAAAUUAAAAAAACAAAAAGAAGCUCAAUUCUAUAACAGCUAAGCUUCUUACUUCCUGUACAAAAACUCAGUGAGAUAGCAACAACAUUCAGUUACUACCAAAACCAGCAUUCUGAGCACCCCACAACCUCUAAGCCUCGAAAUUACCAAAACAAACCAACCCCACUUCCCAAAUAAUGCCCAAAUGGGUAAAAAUUGCAACUUUUGGGAGUAAACAAAAGUUCAAAAUUGAAAGAAGACAUACUCAGCAAGAUCACCAAGCUGCCUCAAGAUCCCAACAAGUCCAGCCACAGCAACACCAUCAAGCACAGCUUUAGGGUCUUCUCUGUUAGCCUCUCUGUAUAGCUCAGGUUGCCCCAAAUUAAACUCAUUCCUCACCUGCAACCUCACCAGAGGCAUCUCUGAUCUUCCCUUCACUGAAAGAGUGAAAACCCAGCAAAAAAAUAUGAUCUUUUUUUGGCCCUUGUAGGUGAAAGGUUGUUCUGAAAUGAAUGAAUGAAUGUGCAAGUGUGAUUGGAAGCAAUAAAUGAAGGGAAUGAAGAGAGAGAAAAAUGAGAUUUUUAAUGGAGAGGAGAGAGAAAGUGGGUGGGUGUGGAGAUUGAAGCAGCGUAACUGCCAAAGAGAAGAGACGAAGAAGAGUGAAGGAGGGAGCAGGUUAAGGAGUGUACGGAUCGAUGAAGGGGAGUGAAUGAGGGAGAAGAAGGACAUUGCCAACUCUGCAAGCCAUUCUUCAAAGGAAAUCCUUGUCUCAGAGAACAGGGUGGAUUGUUGAAAGUACUAGGAUGCCCUUGUUGUUUGGGGACAAUGCCUUGUGUGUCCGGAAAGUGUUGAAGGGGGUAACUAUGAAGAGUGAAAUUACUGAUUUGGGACUUGGGAGCCACAAACUUUUUGCCUUUUGAGGGUUGGGUCAAAAUGGUAAAGGGGAUGUAAUGUCUAGAACUAGAUUGGUUAGAAGAGACAUGCAACUAUUUUACGAACGAGUAACAUCAUUAGUUAAAGACACAUAAUGGAAGUAGUGUCGAAGGCAUAAAUUAGUAUUUUUUAUUCAUAAAACCUUAAUUUGAUAAUUGACGAUUUUCACACUCAUCAAUUUAGAUCUUAAUAGAGAUCUAAUGGAGCGUCGAAAAAAUCAGACCGGUUGAUCGUCUAAACGAACCGCCUCAACACGUAAUUGGAUUUAUGAUCGAUCUAGUUGGCUCAUCAUUCAGUUGUAUACUUGACUCAACUAAAACUCGGCGGGUCAGUUCAAUUGGCUUAUUAGAAUUGUUAACUUAAUGAUCAACUCAACAUGACUUGAAAUUAUUCCCUGAAUACCAGUAGAGAACUCGCGCAAUCGAUACAAAAAUGAGGGGUUGGCUAAGGUUUGAAUGCACAUACUAAAAAGAUAUAAAUUUUGAACCAUGUUAGAAUUUGGAGAUAUUUGAGCAUAUUUAUAUAUUUGAGCAAAACUUAAACAUCAAACAUUGAACCAGUUAGAAUUUGGAGAUAUUUGAGCAUAUUUAUAUAUUUAUAUCAUGAUUAAAAAUAUAUAAAUUUUGUUAAUAUAAAGUACAAUAUCUUCCUCUUUGUAACAAAAAAAUAUAAAAUACAAUUAAGUUAAAUUAUAUAUACGAUAUAAAAUACAGUUAAGUUAAAUUAUAUGAUAUAAAAUAAUUUAUGAAUAUUAUAUUUAUAAAAUUUGUCCAACCAAUGACACACAAGUUGGACCAUUAACCCAUCAAUCCAAUAUCUCCAUCGACGACUGAUCCAAAACACUGAUCUAAUAAAUGAUAUGUUAAGGGUGUAAUCGGAGUGUGACAUUCUCCUUCCAACACCAUUUCUACAUUUCCAUUUCAAAACCUUUUUUUUAUUUGUUACUAUAAAAUCCAUAUAUAACUCACUAAAUUGGGGAGUGUGACUUUUAUAAAUUAGUGGAUUUUACAUGAGUUUCAAAUAAUGAAAGAGAAAGUGUUAGAAAUAAAAUGUCAAAUUGAGUAUCGGUGAUAGUUCUCAAAUAGAUCCUUGCUAGACUCAAAGGUGACUAAAAUUGAUUUUGCCAUUCUUAGCAAAAUAAUUAAUGCCAUAUACACGCAAUCACUAAUGGUAUAUUUAAAGGGACUAAUUAUAUACCAAUUUUACUGAGUUUUAUUGGUGAAAAUAAAAAUACAAUGUGGAUGUGGUUCAAUUGUGUUUAUGAAAUAUUUUUACGGACAAGUUGUUUAUAAUUUUCAAAGGAAAACCUUUUUUCAAGAAACUUAAAUAAAAGGAAUAUUUCUAUGCAUGUAUGACAGAUAAUGCGGGACAGUGAUGUGUAUGAACACAAAAAUGAGAAAUGCUUAUCUGGUGAUAAUUACAGACGGAGUGGUUUUCUGAUAUUUCAGUUUCAAGGAUUAAAUGCUAUGAUCUACAAAUUUGUUUUUGUGUGGUGAUGAAAUACCUAGAGCAUUAAUUAAUAACUAUGGAAAAUCAUGUAUAAAGUUGGUUACAUUAAUUAGGGAAUGAAUGGAGAUUUAAAAAAAAAUAUAAAUAUAUAUAUAUAUAUUUAUAGACAAAUGUUUUUUUUGAACUUUUUAAUAGGCAAAUGUUAGUUGUUAGUAAUGUUAGUUUUUUUUAUAGUCAAUGUUAGAUGUUUGUAAUGUUAGUAAAUUAGUCUUCCUCAUGAUUCGAACUCUUUACCAUUCACAAACUCUUAUGUCUCCAUACUCUUACAACAUUUGAGAAUAUUUAUAUGUCAUUCUUUCUAUUUUGAUAAUUAUUUAUAUGUCAUUCUUAGUUGAAUCAUAAGAAAGCAUUUGAAUUGAAUUAAUGUAGGAUGUAUCUAGUAAAUAGAUUAAUUAUAUUAAAUGUUUAUUGCAAUAACGGUUUAUGGCAUAAGCUAAAAAUAUUAAAAUAAGUUAAUCUCAGAAAUUUAUUAAAAUAAACUAAAAAUAAAUUAUAUGUAAGCCUAAUUUUUCAUUCAUGUUCCCGUGAGAUAGCUCGAGUGGUAGGAGCGGAGGACAUAUGAGUUGGGUAGGGGGAGAUCCAUAGAUCGAUUCUUAGCAGGUGCAAUUUAUCUUUCCGAUGUAAAAGAAAAAUUUAUUCAUAAGCUAAUAUGAAUAACUUAUGAAAUAAAUUUAAGAAUUAUGUAUAUAUAUAGGUCAUAGUUAUUCACAAAACUUGUAUAAAGCUUAAGUAGGCUUCCAAAUGAGGUAUUAGCUCCUAAGUUAAAUGGCAAUUGCGUGUUACACUCUGCAAUCAUUAUUUCUUGCCUGCUAUAAUUAACUGGGUAUAUAUAGUAUUGGCAUGGACCCUCUACUUAAAACGUAGGUAUAAGAUUGGUAUUUUCUCAGGAAAAACAAUUAGUAGGAAAAUAAAAAAGUUAAAGAGAAGGAAAAACGAAAGUGAUUGAAAGAGAUUUGCCUUUAAUAACAACAGUACGGGGCAAAGAAUUCAUACCAUUUUGCUUUGUCAUAUAUCAUAAAUGUUGAUGAUAAGGUAGGUUUCCUUGUUUAGUUUUGAGUAGGUAUGCAAAUUGAUUAGGUUCAAGUGAAAUAUUACAUUUUAAUGAAUCUACUACAUUAUUCUUUUUUUUGGUUGCAUACAUUAUUCAAAUAAACACGUGAGUGCACUUUAAUUAAUAAAAUGCACAUAAUUAUGUAAGUGUAUGACAUAAUAUACCAAAUUCUUAAUGUUAUACAUGGUCUAUCUAAGAGGGAAAAUGUUAACGGAAAAAAUAAUAAUGGCAGCUUAUUUUUUUAUUAUUGUGUUAAUUAAUGUAUCUCCACAAUUGAUAAUUACAAAACUAAUUUAAUCGAGACUAUGAAAUCUCAUUAUAUAGGUAAAUUUUUCAUAAUAAAAUUUGGAUCAAAUGCACCGCUCAAAAACCAAAUUCUAGACUAAAUGCUAAAGAAACUCAGAUAUAUAUCUAAACCAGCCUAUAAAAAAAAUAUCUAUACCAAUUUUGGUGAACCUUCGUUGUUAUGAUAGCUUAUUCUUCGUGGGGCGUAGUGGCUUACAAUUUGACAUCGAAGUCAUCAUAUAUGGCAAUCUGAACAUUAAUUGAUUCGUGAAACAAUUAACAGUACUAUUAAAAUUAAUAAAUUAAGGCAAUUCUCAUCAAAUUCUUCGCAAAUAAAAUAUGAUGAACCAUCUUUUUCGCUGAGUGCGUAAGAGUUGACGAACAAAUCCAAAGGUUAAAGUUUGGUGAAAGGUUUGACUUGGAACAGAUAUCUAGAAUCUAUAGUUAAGUUGGCUUUUACUUCACCCACGAAAUUAAGAAACACCAUUUGAUCCAUGAGGUUCUAAUUAAUUAUUACCAAAAUGAUCAUCAUACUAGUAUUAUUUCCUUGUCAUUGCAGGAAAUAUCUCCCACAGUUGUUUCUCUUUGAAAUCAUCUGGAAAAUUAGAAAAAAAAAUAAUGAGUAAUGUCUACUCAUGUGAUGUUGGUUGUUAAUUAUCUAGUAGCACAACUCUUCAACCAAAGUGCCACAACGGCACUCUGCUGCUGCCAAAUCCAAUGCUGCCACUAGCAGCGUAGUGGAAAGUUCACGUUGCUGCAUCACAGUAAUCAAUAUAGACAGGCAGUGCAGUGCUAAUUAAUUCUUCAAUUUAAUUUGUUGGGGGUUCUGUUUCACAAUAUUCAAAAUGAAAAAUAUCUUUUCAAUUUGCUAAUCUAUACUAUAGUCAUAGAUCAGGUUUGAAGUUAAUAAGAUAUUUAAAAGUAUGUGUAAGUGAAUAUAAUAAUGCACGGCAGACCAGAUAUACAAAUCCUAGGUGUUUCCAUGUCUUUAGGCAUCUUUGCCCAUCAUUAAAGGGUUCAUGACCGCUCAAUGGAAUACUAUAAUUAUAUUGUUAAUUAAUGUAUUCUCACAGCUAAUAGCCGUGAGAUUAAAUUAAUGACUUUUUUUUUGUUCGCAUGAGUUGAUAAUCAAAUUCUCAACCAUUUCUUAAAGAAUGGAGUGUUAAACCUCUACGUCAACUCACUCAGUGGCGGAUCCAGGACCCAAGGUCAGGGGUUCAAAAUUUUCAAACGAACACAUCAAUAAAAAUAUAAUUAAAAACAACUUUAAUAUGUUUAUACUAAUAAAUUAUACAAGUCAUAAUUGUCCUUUACGUGAUUUCAUAUUCUGAAAUCGUUGAAUAAUAAGCUCGAAGUCAAUGGUAUUGAAUACAUAACUCUCAAUGUAAGUAACUAAACAAUCGUUCAUCCAUGUAUCUCUCAUUCGGUUACGCAGCUUAUUCUUCACAAUAUUCAUAGCAACAAGCAAAAUCAGCGCAAAUUUCAAAAGAAGAUAAACUUGUGGAUAAACAACAUGUUUUCCUUUUUCAACCAACUUCUCCGAAAGCUGUUGGAGUCCUUUCAAAGAGGUAAAUUCAUCAUUCCUACGCAUACCGAUAAUGUAGGAAUCUAGUGCAUCACCAGACACCAAGCACCACUAAAUUAAAUGGAGUGAAUUCAUUUUGAUAAAAACUUGCAAAUUCCAACACAUUUGCCUUAUUAAAAGCAGAGAAUAAUGAUGCUUUGUUGUAAUGCUAUGGGUUUGACGUUGUGACUACCCAGUACUUAUAAACACACUUCCUGCAAUAAAGACACUGAGACACACAUGUGUGUGAGAAAGUGGGAUAAGUGAGUUUGAGUUUGGUUCAAAUAUGUGCAAAAUUUAAACUAUUAGUACAAUUUAAAAUUUUCAGGGGGUUCAAAAAAGAAUUUAUAUAAAGGGGUAAAAUUUAUAUAGUGGGGUAAGUGUGCUCUAUUUUUUUUCAAGGGGGUUCAAGUGAACCCCCUCAUCACCAUGUAGGUCCGCCUCUGAACUCACUUGCUUCAUUCAAAUAAAAUGAACAGCUACUUUCUCUCUGGGUAAGAUUUAAUUAGUUAGAGCUAUGACUUCAAUUUAUCACUUUUUUCUCUAUAGCCAUUUUGUUCACCACAAGAAAGGGUUAAAUGCAUCAGCCCCUACACGACGCUAAAAUUAGCUUAUUAAUGUUAGUCAAAUUGAUACAGAACAUUGACUUUUAAAUUAUGUUCCACUUAAAGAUAGACAAAAGUUAAUUAACAUUGACUUAUUAGCAUUUAGCGAUGAUUCUAGUCGAAGUUUGGUUUUGUCCAACGCUAAAAUCAUUGUCAAAAAAUUUGUCAGCCCUAUUAGCGUUGACUUUGACCAACGCUAGCUAGCUUGAAGUCAACCCAACCCUUCUACUCAGCCUGCUAGUAGUAUUGGUCAAGUCUGCUGACGCUAACCUUCGAUGAUUUGUUCACUUGAUCAUCCUUAUAAGCUCGCUGAAACCCUCACACCCUAUCACACUCUCCAAACUGCCUUCGGCAUUCCACCUCUUCCUAUGUCGCCCCGUCAAGCAUCCACUGCCUAAUCAUCCACCACUUGUCACCCCCUAUUCUCGUCGUUGCACCACCCUUCCCCACAUCCUUGUUGCCGCACCACCGCUUCUAGCUCUGCCGCGCGCUGCCAACCUUAAACUAUUGGACUUUACAUUGGUUCGUGCAUGUUCAUCCAUGUAGAAUAGCAAGCUGGUGAUGAAUCAUUAUCUCUAGCUAAACCUAUGUCUAAUUGUAUAAACUUAGUUUGUUGUAUUAACAAUGAAGGCAAGCAAUCAAAUCUAUUAUACUUAUCCCUUAGCACCUACUUUUAGGCUGUAUUAAGAUUUCAUAAACUUACAAAAUAAGUUGCAUUUUCCUUGCUAUUCAUCAAAGUUCUAUGGUUUGGACUGCAUAUAUUUAUUCUUCAAUUUUGUUGAUGUUGGUUUUGUGGUAAGUAAGUUAAACAUUUUAAGUAAAAAUUUGAAAAAAUCAUUUAUAGGAGAAACAACUAUAAUUUCUUAUGAUCACUUGGAUCUCAAAAGAUUAUCACUUAAUGACGGCGACCGCUAGCUAGUAAGGAAUUGCCACUUAAAUCAGUGUCUUUUUUUUUAUAGGCAUUACAUAUUGAAAGUAUAUCACUGAUAUAGUGUGUUAUCUCCAUUGGUACCUUCAAGGCUUAAAGAAUUCACGUGAUAAUUCAAUAGUGAAAUAAGGUGAAACAUAUAAUUAAUUUCUUGAAUCUUGUUUGGAAGUUGGUGUCGUCAAGUAGGAUUUAUUUGAAGUCGAGUGUCUUAGAAGCUCGAUGUUUCUUCUUAAUAAAUUAAUAAAUCCAAGACUUAUUAAAAGGAAAAACAGAGAUAACAGUUUCACAUGACAUUCACAUGUGCUACUCACACAUCCUCUGAAUAAAUAAAGACAUGGAAACUGGAAAUUAAGGGCAAACAGGUGAUGGGGGUUAGGGUGGCCUUGAACUUCUUUCUCAAUAAAAUAUUGAUGCUAUAGAUCAUGCCAGUGAAAAAAAUAUGUGAAGUUUUGAAGGAGAGAAGGCUUUUAAUAAAAAAAUCACUUUUUCUUCUGUAUCAAUUUUCCAAGUUUGUUUUAAAUUUUUUAUCAUUCCUAAUUCCGAUACUUUGUAAGGUCAAUUUCUACUACACCGGUUCAACCAACUUAUUUAGCUAGCGCUCACACAUUUGGGUCCAAGUAGUAGCCUUGUAGGUUGAAGCAUUUCCACUUCACUAUGAACUAUGAAGUACGAACUUUUUCUCAUCUCACUUCAUAGGAAAAUGUUUCUUGAACAUACAUAGUCUCAUUAAUGAUCACCUAAUGACACAUGCAGUUUGUGGUGGCUUUUGACAGCCACAAUCGAUAAAGUAUUAAAAAUUUUAAAAAGAAUAUUUUUUCACGAUUCAUUAGAAAAGACAUCACAAAAUUGUGUAUUUAUUUUACGGGGAUUUUAAAACCCGCGCGAAACACUUAUUUUUUCAUAACAUUUUUUCAAAGUAUGUCACAAGCUCCCAAAAAUUGUGAUUUGCUUGUUCGGCCUCUUAGGGACUAUAAAUCAUUGGCCUGUUACCCUAUUUAUAGUUUAUGGGCUUAAUUAUAGCUAGAACGAAGACUAUUUCAUGGACUCUUAGCAUUGGAUUUUGUAGGCUUGUCCAAUUAUGGGUUCUAUAGUUAAACUAUAUGUGAGUUGACCACAAAAAAAAGGUAAACCAUAUGUGUGCCACGAAUUCAUGUUACUAGAGGUUAUUUGACGACCCGACCCAAAAUAAUUAAAUAAAUAAAUAAGGAGCAAGAGGAGGAUUUGUAAAUAAAAGAUUCCGCAAAAGUCUAUAUUAACUAUUAAGUUACUGACAGUUUACUCAUGAUUCCGAUGGUGGUUGAAGGCAAGACUUAAGCAUUUUUGUAUAUCUUUCAUUAAUUGAGAAUCAAAUCCAUAUGUUACUUUUAGUUUGAAGAUGGUGUAUGGGAUGAAGAUGAAGUUAUCUCAGUUAUAGCAAGAUGGUGACACUAGAUUUUACAGCUUGAAGUAUAGUCUAUUAUUUGUCACUUUUGUUUGUUUGUAUUGUUUCUGUUAGAUGUUGUCGCUUGUUUAUUGGUCAUGAUUUAUCUUGUAUCUUUAUUUGGGUGCAUCUUGUACUCAAUUUUUCUAAUAUAGAAAGGGUUUGUUACGUUAAAAAAAAGAAAGACAUUUUGUUGGUUUUUAGAAGAGAAAAAAUCUAAAGGGUGAUCUAAAUGAUUCAUGAAAAAGUUUGGGUUAAAUAAUCCAUCAUCUAAUCACAUUGGAGAUAAGUAAGUUGGAAAAAAAUGAAUAAAUAAAAUAUAAAAAUUCCAACUCACUUAUCUUCAAUGUGAUUGGAUGAUGAGUUAUUUAACCCAAAACUUUUCUUGUGUCAUUUAGACAACCCAAAAUCUAAAUAUAAAUUAUUUCAAUUUCUUAUAUUUAAUUCACAGUUAAUUUUGACAAAAGUUUUUUUUAUAAGCAAAUAGUUGUAUUAAGGAGGCACUGCCUCAAUCCGUAGUACAAAGAUAGUUGAUUUCCACAUUAUACAUUUUAAGAUAGUUGAAUGUACUCUUACACCCCCGGCUAAUUCAUAUAUUUUGUUUCAGACAAGUGAAUAUACUUUUUGAUCAAUUUAAAUGUACACACAAACACAUUUUUUUUUUUUAUAGGCAAAUGUUAGUUGUUAGAAAUGUUAGUAAAUUAGUCCCUCCUCCGGGUUCGAACCCGGGACCCUUCACCCUCACCCCACCCAACCCUUAUGUCCCUAGCUCUUACCACUUGAGCUAUCAUUCGGAGACAAACACAUUUAAUUAUUAUCUCUAUUUUGUAACGGUCUUUCUUUUCAGUGACUUGUUUCCUUUAAUUCUUUGAUUUGAUGAUAAACAUGAAGACGGUCUUUCUUUUCCCCGUCCUCAAUCUUAAAAUGUUUCCCUUUUAAUGUAAAUUAAAACUUAUAUUUGAUUUCAUUUGAAGGGCUUUGUCCCCUUAAUUAGACUAUUCAAUAAAUAAUAAAUAUUUAUUUUUUAAAAUUUAUUAUAAUAUCUUAAAACUAUAUACUUAUUGAACUAUUUAUGUUUAAAUACGUGAGAUUAUAUUAUUUAACUAUAUAAACCUCUUUAGAAAAUGAUUAUUGACUUGGACCAUAUAAUCAUAUUAUUGUAUUUUAACUCAUUACUUUAUAACUUUGUUAACAUAUUUAUAAGUAAACUUUUCGGUCUACUUGAAUGUAUUACAAUGAAGUAGACUUUUAAAUAUUAUCAGGCCAAACCAAGCUUUCAAAUAGAUAGGCUUGGGCCUAAAAAAACCUUUCACAGGCUACAGGCCAUACUGAGGCCUUAAAUAUUGUAAGUAGGCUAAUCCUAUUUAAGCACAAAGCCUAGUGAAGCCCAGCCUACUUCCAACCCUAGUUUCCGGUUAAUGAAUUUUAAUUACUCCCUCCGUUCCUUAAUAUAAGUACAAAGCCACAACUUCACACCCCUUUAGAAAUUGAGUUAAUUUAGGUAAAUACAUUAAAUUUGUUCUCAAUUUAUAUCAAUUUUCCAAAGUUACCCUCCACUCAUUAUUCAAUCUCUAUGCAUCAUUACUACUAUGGAAAGUGGAAAGAGAGAAAAUUCAAUUAAUAAGGGCAUUCUUGUCCAAAAUUAAUUAAUGCACCACAAACUCCAAGUUGGUUCUUAUAAAAAGGAUCAUGGUGCACCUCACAUUUGAUUCUUAUAAAAAGGAUCAUGAGGUGAUCAUGGUGCACCUCACAUUUAAUUUCAUUCUUAUAAAAAGGAACGAAGAGAGUAAUGAAUUUCAAUCAGUUAAAUAAAAAACUAGAGAUGGGUAAAUAAUUACUAUUCUCACCUCGAAUUAUGCGUGUGAUUCAAUCUUUAAUUAUUGUUAGCCACUUUACAAUUCUUCAAUAGGUUUUGAAUUUUGUGAUGUGUUAAGCUAACAUGCACUCCUAUAAUUACUAAUUAAUUAAUGCAUAUAUUUGCCACAAUCAAAUAUAAUACUAAUUACUUUAUUUAUUAAUAUAUAAAUUUUAUAAUAUGCAUAGAAAAUAAAAAUGUAAAAGGGAAAAGGAAACUCAUCAAUUAGCUAGAAGAAUUGGAAAACAAUACUAACAUUUAACUUUUAUUAAAGCUUGUAUGUUGCGGGUCAUGCUUGAUAAUAACCAUUUGUCAAUUAAUGUACCCUCGAGUCUGACAUUUUUAGUGCUGAAAAUUCGUAAACAGGUUUCAAAGGUAUCUCUGCUGCUUCAUACAUUUUAUGCUUAUUCAAGUAAACUUUCGAAUCAGCCUUAAAGACGUGAACCAUCAUUUAACAAUGAACUUUUCUAAGAUUAUGUGAAUAUUCCCAUAUCUCCACAACAAUAAUUAUUACAAGCAUAUCGGAAAAAACAAUCCAUUCCAAAAAAAAUACAAUACCUCACUUAAAUACCUAUAUGCACAUUAUAUUGGACAGGGCGACCAAGUUGAUUUUUUAGAAGAUGCAUGUAAUAGUUCCUCUCUAUUGUUGUAUCUCGUACCCAUCAAGCUAUCAUGAAGUCCAACCUUGAACACCCUAACAUCAAUAUCUUCAAAAUUCAACUUUAUAAAAGGCCGGUUUGGCGUUACGCAAGGUACACAACUCCUCAUCACUCACUAUUCUUCCCUGAUAUUUUAACUUAGACGUCAGAGUGUCAGUAUAAAGUCUUCAUUGACACUGUGACUUGAUUUUUUUGUUUUGAAAAUUUUGCGUUGUAGGUUAUGUAAUGUAUCCUUUCAAAUAGAGAAUUACAUUUUACAAGAUAGGUUCUCUUUCUAGCAUAUUCUACAUAUUCCAACAUCAAACCCAUGGGUUUCCUAAGCCAUCAACACAUGUUGUCUGAGAAGAUUGGCAGAGGGACGAUUGAGUGGCUUUCAAUUGGAAUAAAUAUAACAGCUUGUGCUCAUCCAAAAUCAGUUCUGGUUGCAUAUGACAUGUUUCUGAAAACCUCAAACUAUAUGUAAAAUUUCUACUCAAGGGUAACUUGAAAGAUGACUCCUUCAUGGUUCCCAAUAAUACACCGAGUUCCAGGCAAUUCUUUCAUCUGCAUCCUAAGCUUAGAAGCUUCAGAAAUAAUCAUUGACACUGUGACUUGAUAACAUAUGAGCUCUUAUCUAACUCAGAGAAGCACCCUAACUAUUAGCAAGAAGAACCACCAUUCCCACUCUCAAUUCAACACUCUUCCUCUCCCGCCCGAUUUAGUCCUUAAUUAUUUAUAUUUAUUUAUUUGAAAUUCCUUUCUUUUGGUCGAAAUAUAGAAAAAUCCUAAUUAAAUGAAGCAUCACUUGGACUAUAAGCACCAAGUCACCGAAUAAUGAGUAAACUAGUUCUGAUUGGCUCCCACAGAAUUAGACAAAAUCAAGGAAAAAGGGUCCCCUAUAUAUGCAAACCACUAUCGAGUGGCCAUAAUGCCUAUUGUGAAGAACGAUAAUUGGUGUGAUUGUACUAUUGAUGCCUUAUAAAAUAUUGUAAUAGUGUACGAUAGUGCAAAUAAGUAAAAAGUAGAAACACAUACGAUUUUAAUAUAUUCGCAAUCACAUUUUUUUAUCUUAUUUUUACCCACAUUUCUUUUCUCUUUGAUCCCUUUGAUUUUUUUAUCACAUUAUACAUUAUAUUUUUCAUUUUUCUCAUUUUUAAUUAAUUUUAUCUUAUUUUAAGAUGUAGGAGAAAUUGAGUGUGAAAAUAUUAUUUUCCCAUAGAAAAUUAUAUAAGAUAUAGAGAUCUCGAUGAGGAGAAAGAGGAAGAAAAGCACCAUUGUAGGCCCCAUGUUAUGUCCUCUUAAAAGACCACAAGACAUGACUUUCAUCUUUCUCCCAACACUCCCAUAUUCUUUCACCUCAUUAACCUCUCAGCACUCACCCUGUUAAUUUUCCACCACCGUAGUCAUUCUUCCCCCUUAGAACAAGAUACCAAACAUGUCUAGCCAGCUUCAAAAUGGUUCACCUCAUGGAUCCUCAUCAUCAUCACAACCACCAUCCAAUCAACAACAACAUCAUCAUCAUCGACAAGUCCAAUCGCAACCGCAACAGCAGCCGCUAAGCCGAUAUGAGUCACAAAAACGACGAGAUUGGAACACCUUUGGGCAAUACUUGAAGAAUAGGACUCCCCAAGUUCCACUCUCUCAGUGCAACUUCAACCAUGUUCUUGAUUUCCUUCGCUACCUUGACCAAUUUGGGAAGACUAAGGUCCACUCGCACGGUUGCAUCUUCUUUGGCCAACCUUCCCCGCCCGCACCCUGUGCCUGCCCUCUCAGGCAGGCUUGGGGCAGCCUGGAUGCACUCAUCGGCCGCCUUCGAGCCGCCUAUGAGGAGCAUGGUGGCUCGCCAGACACCAACCCCUUUGGUGCCGGAGCCAUUCGUCUCUACCUGCGUGAGGUGAAGGAGUGCCAAGCAAAGGCAAGAGGGAUCCCAUACAAGAAGAAGAAGAGGAAGAAGAAUAAUUAAAUGAAGGAGACUAGUACUCAUCAAACUGCGCAAGUCGUCAAUCAAGAAGGUCCUAAUUGAGAUGGGAUAUGGAUGGUAAGUUUUUUUCAUAUAUGUAUUUAUAAGAUAUAUGAUAUGGUGCAUGUAUAUUAAUUAUUGUUGCUUUAUAUUUUGAUUUAUCAGCUAGCUAUAGCUAGUAGCUACCUUCAACCUUGAAUGCUUGAAAUUUAAAGUGAUUAUUAACUCAUAUAUAAGAUUAACAGGAAAAAGUGAUCUGAUGAUCAGGAUAUUAAUUAAUUGGGGAAUUUGGAAGCCUUAACUAAAUAAGGUAGGAAAAGGUCAAGUAUGGAUGAGGAAUACAGCAGCCACCAUUUGUAGCAUGCAAAACCCUAGAAGCAGAAUCAAAACCCUAAUUUUGUGUUGUUGAUCAGAGAUGGUUUGCAGUGAGAAUCUUUUACUAGAGUAAAAUUUAGUGUCUCUCUCUCCCUCACUAAUUUCUUUCUCUCUCCUAUCAUUCAAAACACUGUUACUUCAGUUCCUUAAUUAAAUACGGUCACGGGUUUGCUUUAUGCUAAUUAUGGGCCUUUUCUGAUUCUCCUAGAUUUCUUUUGCUCCCCAUGGAUGUGUGAUUGUGUGAGCUUCAUCUUAUCAUAGUUUGCAUGUGUGUGAUUGCAUACACAAUCGGACGUAGAAACUAACAUAUAUUGAAAAUCUUGUCUCUUGUAUUAUUUUAAACAUAUACAUGUUUUAAUUAGUAUAACACAUGCACAAAUUCUCUUUAAUUUAAAACAUAUAUAUUGCCUAUUAAUUUGUACAUAGAUUUCCCUCAAAAAAAAAAUUUGUACAUAGAUUGUGUGGUCCAGAGAAAACUUUGUAACAUCAAAACCGUUUUUUAGCUCCAAAGACUUCAAUUAUUUUUGCACACAAAGCUUCAUUUUAUUCAGUGUUUAGAUCCGGUCCUUAAUUAGUCAGUGCAUGUAGACAUGGCCUUUUUAACUUGUCCCAUGACUUUUUGUCUAGAUUGUUAUAUACUUAUUGUCUCUUAUUAGUGGAAGCUGAGGGCCACUUUUCUAUAGUUACCUAUUAUGUUUAGAUUUCUUAUCCGCACCGUAGAAAACCUCAAAAAAUGUGAAAAGAAAUUUCUAUUAUUAGAAGAAAAGAAGGACUGAGAAAAUUUAAUUAAAUGUGAGCUUUGUAUUCAUAUUUGAUCUGUAGUGUCUAUAUCUAUACACAUGAUGAAUAUAUAGCAACUUAGGCUUCAAUAAUUUGUUGGCCUUAACAGGCAAUUAUAAUUAUCACUAAAAUUGCUUGAGGUUCCAGACCAAUAAGUGGUACAAUUAAGAGCUCACAUCAAUGGUAUAUAUCUAAAGUUCCGUUUGAGUACAAGAAGGUGACGUUAAAUCUUAAUUUAUUGUCACAGCAAGUUUUAGAUGUGAAGUUAAAGAGGUUUUCUUGAAUGUCUUUAUAUGUAAGUAGGUUCAUUAUGGGUUUUGGGACCUGUUGUGGGCUUCCAAGGCGAUUCCGAGGUGUAAGGAAAUGGUUUGGAGGGCGUGUACCGGGGCUCUUCCGUCGCGGGUUGCUUUAACUCGUAGAGGGGUGCCUAUCGAUGCCGCUUGUCCUUUUUGUGAUACACAAGUUGAGACGACAUCGCAUGCUUUGAUGGACUGUCCAGAGGUUCGUUGUAUUUGGUUUGGCUCACCAUUAUCGGUGAUGCCCCCUCUUGACGUUACUGGGUCAGGGCCCUCAUUGCAUGGCUCUACCAGUUCUUUAAGCUGAAGGAUGAAGCACUCACGGAGCAUGUUAUCACUUUGCUGUGGGUUAUUCGAUCUAGAAGGAAUUGGUGGGUUUUUGAGCAAGUGAAGUUUACUGCCGAGCAGA